UCUGAAGGGCAGCACAGUAUAAGGG
rnacentral:piRNA from 1 species